rnacentral:rRNA from 1 species
AGAGUUUGAUCAUGGCUCAGAACGAACGCUGGCAGCGUGGAUGAGGCAUGCAAGUCGAGCGGUGCCCGGAGAGUAGCAAUAUGAUCCGGGCAUAGCGGCGGAAGGGCGAGUAUCGCGUGGGCAAGCUACCCCCUAGUGCGGAACAACACCUGGAAACGGGUGCUAAUGCCGCAUGUUGCCGUCCGGCGCAGGCCGGGCGCGCCAAAGGCCGGGACCGCAAGGCCGGCCGCCAGGGGAGGCGCCCGCGUGCCAUCAGCUAGUUGGCGGGGUAACGGCCCACCAAGGCGUACGGCUAGGCGGACUGAGAGGUUGGUCGCCCGCACUGGGACUGAGACACUGCCCAGACUCCUACGGGAGGCUGCAGUCGAGGAUCAUUCGCAAUGGGCGCAAGCCUGACGAUGCGACGCUGCGUGGAGGACGAAGGCCCUCGGGUCGUAAACUCCUGUCAGAGGGGAAAAGGGCGCCCUCCCGAACAGGGAGGCGCGCUUGAUGGUACCCUCAGAGGAAGCCACGGCUAACUCUGUGCCAGCAGCCGCGGUAAUACAGAGGUGGCGAGCGUUGUUCGGAUUUACUGGGCGUAAGGGCGUGUAGGCGGACAGAUUAGUUGGGAGUGAAAUCCCGGGGCUCAACCUCGGAACUGCUUUCAAAACGGUUUGUCUAGAGUGUAGUAGGGGACAAUGGAAUACCCAGUGGAGAGGUUAAAUUCGUAGAGAUUGGGUAGAACACCAGAGGCGAAGGCGAUUGUCUGGACUAUUACUGACGCUGAGGCGCGAAAGCGUGGGGAUCAAACAGGAUUAGAUACCCUGGUAGUCCACGCUGUAAACGAUGAAUGCUAGGGGUCAGGCCUUUAAGGUUUGGUCCCGCCGCUAACGCAUUAAGCAUUCCGCCUGGGGAGUACGGUCGCAAGAUUAAAACUUAAAGGAAUUGACGGGGGCCCGCACAAGCAGUGGAGUAUGUGGUUUAAUUCGACGCUACGCGCAGAACCUUACCACCCCUUGACAUGGGUAUCGCCGAGUUUGUAAUGAACUCUUCAUUUAGUUGGAUACCACACAGGUGCUGCAUGGCUGUCGUCAGCUCGUGUCGUGAGAUGUUGGGUUAAGUCCCGCAACGAGCGCAACCCUCGUCUUUAGUUGCCAUCAUUCAGUUGGGCACUCUAAAGAUACUGCCGGUGUAAGCCGGAGGAAGGUGGGGAUGACGUCAAGUCAGUAUGGCCCUUACGCCUGGGGCCGCACACGUGCUACAAUGGCCGGCACAGAAGGAAGCGAAGCCGCGAGGCGGAGCAAACCCCCAGAACCGGCCCCAGUUCGGAUCGGAGCCUGCAACCCGGCUCCGUGAAGUCGGAUUCGCUAGUAACGGCGCAUCAGCUACGGCGCCGUGAAUACGUUCCCGGGCCUUGUACACACCGCCCGUCACAUCAUGAAAGCCGUCUGCACCCGAAGUCGGUGACCGAACCCGCGAGGGACGGAGCCGCCUAAGGUGUGGGUGGUGAUUGGGAUGAAGUCGUAACAAGGUAGCCGUAGGGGAACCUGCGGCUGGAUCACCUCCUU